rnacentral:rRNA from 1 species
UUUAAAGAGAGUUUGAUCCUGGCUCAGGACGAACGCUGGCGGCGUGCCUAAUACAUGCAAGUCGAACGAACGGAGGAAGAGCUUGCUCUUCCAAAGUUAGUGGCGGACGGGUGAGUAACACGUGGGCAACCUGCCUGUAAGUUGGGGAUAACUCCGGGAAACCGGGGCUAAUACCGAAUGAUAGAAUGUGGCGCAUGCCACGCUUUUGAAAGAUGGUUUCGGCUAUCGCUUACAGAUGGGCCCGCGGUGCAUUAGCUAGUUGGU